UACGGGGGGGGUAAGCGUUGUUCGGAAUUACUGGGCGUAAAGGGCUCGUAGGCGGCCAACUAAGUCAGACGUGAAAUCCCUCAGCUUAACUGGGGAACUGCGUCUGAUACUGGAUGGCUUGGAUUCGGGAGAGGAAUGCGGAAUUCCAGGUGUAGCGGUGAAAUGCGUAGAUAUCUGGAGGAACACCCGUGGCUAAGGCGGCUCUCUAGUACGGUACUGACGCUGAGACGCGAAAGCGUGGGGAGCGAACAGG
rnacentral:rRNA from 1 species